rnacentral:rRNA from 1 species
UAACCUGCCCAAGAGAUCGGGAUAACACCUGGAAACAGAUGCUAAUACCGGAUAACAACAGAUGAUGCCUAUCAACUGUUUAAAAGAUGGUUCUGCUAUCACUCUUGGAUGGACCUGCGGUGCAUUAGCUAGUUGGUAGGGUAACGGCCUACCAAGGCGAUGAUGCAUAGCCGAGUUGAGAGACUGAUCGGCCACAUUGGGACUGAGACACGGCCCAAACUACUACGGGAGGCAGCAGAG